AAGUCGUAACAAGGUUUCCGUAGGUGAACCUGCGGAAGGAUCAUUACCGAAACGUCAAACACGGGUUGUUGCUGGCCCUCGACGGGGGCAUGUGCACGCUCUGUUUACACAUCCACUUCACACCUGUGCACCCUCUGUAGUUCUGUGGUCCGGGGGACCCUGUCCCCCCCUCCGCGGUUCUACGUUUUUACACACACACCGUAACGAUGUCUUGUGGAAUGCUUUCCGCGUUUAACGCGAUACAAUACAACUUUCAGCAACGGAUCUCUUGGCUCUCGCAUCGAUGAAGAACGCAGCGAAAUGCGAUAAGUAAUGUGAAUUGCAGAAUUCAGUGAAUCAUCGAAUCUUUGAACGCACCUUGCGCCCCUCGGCCAUUCCUUGGGGCAUGCCUGUUUGAGUAUCAUGAACACCUCAACUCUCACGGUUCGCCGCGAAGAGCUUGGAUCUGGGGGUUUGCCGGCCACGCGGUCUGCUCCCCUCAAAUGAAUCAGCUUGCCAGUGUCUGGCGGCGUCAUGGGCGUGAUAACCAUCUACGCUCACGGCCGUCCGCCGGGUAACCUUCGUCGCCGGAGGUUCGCUGGAGCUUACAAACGUCUCUCCUUGGUGGGGGACACCUUUCGAACGUUCGAUCUCAAAUCAGUAGGACUACCCGCUGAACUUAA
rnacentral:rRNA from 1 species